AUAAAAAUCAGCUAGAGGUCUUGUUAAAAUGCAGAUUCUGAUUCAGUAGAUCUACACUGAGAGCUGAGAUUCUGCGUUUCUAAUAAGCUCUAGGGUGAUACCAAU
rnacentral:pre_miRNA from 1 species